UUGAGCCGGAUGCGGGGUGACUUGCGCGUCCGGUUCUCAGGGGCGGUGGCGCAGGAAUGCGCUGCUGCUACCCGAC
rnacentral:ncRNA from 1 species